CGUGAGGUGGCGACCGGCGCACGGUGAGUAACACGUAUGCAACCUGCCUGUAAGCGGGGAAUAACCGUUGAAGACGGACUAAUACCGCAUAAUACUAAAUUACUGCAUGGUAAUUAUUUAACAUUUAUGGCUUACAGAUGGGCAUGCGCAUGAUUAGCUAGUUGGAGAGGUAACGGCUCCCCAAGGCAACGAUCAUUAGGGUUCUGAGAGGAAGGUCCCCCACACUGGUACUGAGACACGGACCAGACUCCUACGGGAGGCAGCAGUGAGGAAUAUUGGUCAAUGGACGAGAGUCUGAACCAGCCAAGUCGCGUGCAGGAAGAAUGUUCCCUAUGGAUUGUAAACUGCUUUUGCAGGGGAAUAAAGUGCAUCACGUGUGAUGUUUUGUAUGUACUCUGCGAAUAAGGAUCGGCUAACUCCGUGCCAGCCGCGGC
rnacentral:rRNA from 1 species